ACGGAAGGCAGCAGUGAGGAAUAUUGGUCAAUGGGCGGAAGCCUGAACCAGCCAAGUCGCGUGAAGGAUGAAGGUAUUAUGUAUUGUAAACUUCUUUAGACGUAGAGAAAUAAGAGGCUCGUGAGCCUUGAUGCUAGUAUACGUAGAAUAAGGAUCGGCUAACUCCGUGCCAGCAGCCGCGGUAAUACGGAGGAUCCGAGCGUUAUCCGGAUUUAUUGGGUUUAAAGGGUGCGCAGGCGGCCCUGUAAGUCAGCGGUUAAAUCGUGGAGCUCAACUCCAUCCCGCCGUUGAUACUGCAGGGCUUGAUUGCGGUCGAGGUUGGCGGAAUUCGCCGUGUAGCGGUGAGAUGCAUAGAUAUGGCGAAGAACUCCGAUUGCGUAGGCAGCUGACCAGGCCGUAAAUGACGCUCAUGCACGAAAGUGCGGGGAUCGAACAGGAUUAGAUACCCUGGUA
rnacentral:rRNA from 1 species